rnacentral:rRNA from 1 species
UGGGGAAUAUUGGGGCAAUGGGGGAAACCCUGACCCAGCAACGCCGCGUGAAGGAAGAAGGCCUUCGGUUGGUAACAUUCUUUUAUCCACGGGAGCGAAGGACGUGACGGUACCUGGAGAAAAAGCAACGGCUAACUACGUGCCAGCAGCCGCGGUAAUACGUAGGUUGCGAGCGUUGUCCGGAUUUACUGGGUGUAAAGGGCGUGUAGGCGGAGAAGCAAGUUGGGAGUGAAAUCUAUGGGCUCAACCCAUAAACUGCUCUCAAAACUGUUUCCCCUUGAGUAUCGGAGAGGCAAGCGGAAUUCCUAGUGUAGCGGUGAAAUGCGUAGAUAUUAGGAGGAACACCAGUGGCGAAGGCGGCUUGCUGGACGACAACUGACGCUGAGGCGCGAAAGCGUGGGGAGCAAACAGGAUUAGAUACCC